rnacentral:rRNA from 1 species
CGACUAAGCGUACACGGUGGAUGCCCUGGCAGUCAGAGGCGAUGAAGGACGUGCUAAUCUGCGAAAAGCGUCGGUAAGGUGAUAUGAACCGUUAUAACCGGCGAUGUCCGAAUGGGGAAACCCAGUGCAAUUCGUUGCACUAUCGUUAACUGAAUACAUAGGUUAACGAGGCGAACCGGGGGAACUGAAACAUCUAAGUACCCCGAGGAAAAGAAAUCAACCGAGAUUCCCCCAGUAGCGGCGAGCGAACGGGGAGCAGCCCAG